GGGAAUUUUGAUUUGGUAAAGUGC
rnacentral:siRNA from 1 species